AGUGAACGCUGGCGGUAGGCCUAACACAUGCAAGUCGAACGGCAGCACAGUAAGUGCUUGCUCUUACGAGUGGCGUGUGGCGGAUGGGUGAGGCAUACAUCGGACUCUACUUUUUCUUGGGGGAUAGCGUAGGGCAACUUACGCUCAUACCGCAUACGACCUACGGCUGAAAGCAGUGGAUCUUCUGCCUUUUCGCGAUUGAAUGAGCCGAUGUCGGAGUAGCUAGUUGGCGUGGUACAGGCCCACCAAGGCCACGAUCCUUAGCGGGUCUGAUAGGAUGAUCCGCCACAGUGAGACUGAGACACGGCCCAUACCCCUACGGGAGGCAGCAGUUGGGAAUAUUGGGCAAUGGGCGCAAACCUGAUCCAGCCAGACCGCGUGGGUAAAGAAGGCCUUCGGGUUGUAAAGCCCUCUUGUUGGGAAAGAAAAGCGGCAGGUUAACCCCCCGCUGUACUGACGGUAGCCAAAGAAUAAGCACCGGCUAACUUCGUG
rnacentral:rRNA from 1 species